GGGGAUUUAGCUCAGUGGUAGAGCGCUUGCCUAGCAAGUACAAGGCCCUGGGUUCGGUUCCCAGCUCUG
rnacentral:tRNA from 1 species